CGCCCGCCGCGCGCGGCGGGCGGGGCGGGGGCCGGGGGGCGUACGGGAGGCAGCAGUGGGGAAUCUUCCGCAAUGGACGAAAGUCUGACGGAGCAACGCCGCGUGUAUGAUGAAGGUCUUCGGAUUGUAAAGUACUGUCUUUGGGGAAGAAUGACUGAUUUGAAAAUAUUGAGUCAGUAUGACGGUACCCAAGGAGGAAGCCCCGGCUAACUACGUGCCAGCAGCCGCGGUAAUACGUAGGGGGCAAGCGUUGUCCGGAAUUAUUGGGCGUAAAGGGCGCGUAGGCGGAUAGUUAAGUCCGGUGUGAAAGAUCAGGGCUCAACCCUGAGAGUGCAUCGGAAACUGGUUAUCUUGAGGACAGGAGAGGAAAGUGGAAUUCCUAGUGUAGCGGUGAAAUGCGUUGAUAUUAGGAGGAACACCAGUGGCGAAGGCGACUUUCUGGACUGUAACUGACGCUGAGGCGCGAAAGCGUGGGGAGCAAACAGGAUUAGAUACCCUGGUAGUCCACGCUGUAAACGAUGAGUGCUAGGUGUAGAGGGUAUCGACCCCUUCUGUGCCGCAGUUAACACAAUAAGCACUCCGCCUGGGGAGUACGGCCGCAAGGUUGAAACUCGAAGGAAUUGACGGGG
rnacentral:rRNA from 1 species